rnacentral:lncRNA from 1 species
CCCUUCUUUUCCUAAGGAAACCAGAAAAAGAGAUUGAGAUAGUAAUUCUGAGAUGCCUGAUCAUCUACCACGUACCUGCAAUCACUAAUGUGUUUGGCCCAUGUCUUGCCCCUUGGUCUGUGCCUCAACAUAGGGAGGAGGGUCCCCUGCCUACUGGAAGCUUGGAAUACUUUGGAUGCUUUGAUAUGAUAUAAAACAAAUUGAAAUCAUCUACAUAAUAACUUAAUUACCAUCCUGAACAAUUUUUCACUAGAGGAUUGUUUCAAGCAGAAAGAGCAGUCCCCACACCACUAGGCAAAGAUUGAUUGUUCUACGGCUGUGGUGAUAACCAACAGAGCCCGUUUAACCCACCUAAUCGAUCAAUGACAACUUGCUUCAGUGAACAUGCCUCUGAAAGACAACCAGUGACACUCGCACACUUUUAAAGUCAGCCAGUCAGCAGCCGACUUACUCCAGGAAACAUGCUUUUAAGGCUGACGUCAACACACUGUCAACAUAUUCUCCUGUUUUGCCAGGAAAGCCAAAGUCUCAAGAAUAUCAAGGAGCAGAGGCUUCCCAGACCUCAACUUCUGACUCCUGGCGCUCGAACACCGCUCAAACAGGAAGACAAGACAAGAGACAAUGGCGAAGGAUGCCCACCUGCCAUCCUCCUAUCUCACCCUCCCCGCCCCCCCACCAGCCUUGCUGCAAGCAGCCUCUCAAGGCCAAAUGCAGGCUGGUGGGAAAACGCCAGCCUGCACAGCUACACGCGCCCCCUCCUCUACCCAAAACCCCAAAUAAAAAUCCCUACCCAUUCCUCAUCGGGGAGCUAGCAAUUUUU